rnacentral:rRNA from 1 species
AGAGUUUGAUUCUGGCUCAGAACGAACGCUGGCGGCGUGGAUAAGACAUGCAAGUCGAACGGGGCCAUCAGAGUAGCAAUAUGAUGAUGGUUCAGUGGCGAACGGGUGCGUAACACGUGGAUACAUUCCGGGAAGCGGGGGAUAGCCCAGGGAAACUUGGAUUAAUACCGCAUGUGAUCGAAAGAUCAAAGACGGGGACCGCAAGGCCUGUCACUUCCCGAUUGGUCCGCGGCCUAUCAGCUAGUUGGCGGGGUAAAAGCCCACCAAGGCGACGACGGGUAGCUGGUCUGAGAGGACGACCAGCCACACUGGAACUGAGACACGGUCCAGACACCUACGGGUGGCAGCAGUCGAGAAUCUUUCACAAUGGGGGCAACCCUGAUGGAGCGACGCCGCGUGGAGGAUAAGGUCUUCGGAUUGUAAACUCCUGUCAUGUGUGAACAAGGCAGCCGGGCUAAUACCCUGAGCUGAUUGAUGGUAACACAAGAGGAAGAGACGGCUAACUCUGUGCCAGCAGCCGCGGUAAUACAGAGGUCUCAAGCGUUGUUCGGAAUCACUGGGCGUAAAGGGUGCGUAGGUGGCGUGGUAAGUCAGAUGUGAAAGCCCGGGGCUCAACCUCGGAAUUGCAUCCGAUACUGCCGUGCUCGAGUACUGGAGAGGUGACUAGAAUUCUAGGUGUAGCAGUGAAAUGCGUAGAUAUCUAGAGGAAUACCAAAGGCGUAGGCAGGUCACUGGACAGUUACUGACACUGAGGCACGAAGGCCAGGGGAGCAAACGGGAUUAGAUACCCCGGUAGUCCUGGCAGUAAACGGUGCACACUUGGUGUGGGAGGAUUCGACCCCUCCCGUGCCGGAGCUAACGCGUUAAGUGUGCCGCCUGGGAAGUACGGUCGCAAGAUUAAAACUCAAAGAAAUUGACGGGGACCCGCACAAGCGGUGGAGUAUGUGGCUUAAUUCGAUGCAACGCGAAGAACCUUACCUGGUCUCGACAUGCUUUGUGUCUUCUGUGAAAGCAGAAUACGGUAGCAAUACCGGCUUAGCACAGGUGCUGCAUGGCUGUCGUCAGCUCGUGUCGUGAGAUGUUGGGUUAAGUCCC